ACACUAUCAUUAACUGAAUCCAUAGGUUAAUGAGGCGAACCGGGGGAACUGAAACAUCUAAGUACCCCGAGGAAAAGAAAUCAACCGAGAUUCCCCCAGUAGCGGCGAGCGAACGGGGAGGAGCCCAGAGCCUGAAUCAGCAUGUGUGUUAGUGGAAGCGUCUGGAAAGGCGCGCGAUACAGGGUGACAGCCCCGUACACAAAAGCGCAUGUGCUGUGAGCUCGAUGAGUAGGGCGGGACACGUGGUAUCCUGUCUGAAUAUGGGGGGACCAUCCUCCAAGGCUAAAUACUCCUGACUGACCGAUAGUGAACCAGUACCGUGAGGGAAAGGCGAAAAGAACCCCGGCGAGGGGAGUGAAAAAGAACCUGAAACCGUGUACGUACAAGCAGUGGGAGCACCCUUUGGGUGUGACUGCGUACCUUUUGUAUAAUGGGUCAGCGACUUAUAUUCUGUAGCAAGGUUAACCGAAUAGGGGAGCCGGAGGGAAACCGAGUCUUAACCGGGCGUUAAGUUGCAGGGUAUAGACCCGAAACCCGGUGAUCUAGCCAUGGGCAGGUUGAAGGUUGGGUAACACUAACUGGAGGACCGAACCGACUAAUGUUGAAAAAUUAGCGGAUGACCUGUGGCUGGGGGUGAAAGGCCAAUCAAACCGGGAGAUAGCUGGUUCUCCCCGAAAGCUAUUUAGGUAGCGCCUCGUGAAUUCAUCUCCGGGGGUAGAGCACUGUUUCGGCUAGGGGGCCAUCCCGGCUUACCAACCCGAUGCAAACUGCGAAUACCGGAGAAUGUUAUCACGGGAGACACACGGCGGGUGCUAACGUCCGUCGUGAAGAGGGAAACAACCCAGACCGCCAGCUAAGGUCCCAAAGUCAUGGUUAAGUGGGAAACGAUGUGGGAAGGCCCAGACAGCCAGGAUGUUGGCUUAGAAGCAGCCAUCAUUUAAAGAAAGCGUAAUAGCUCACUGGUCGAGUCGGCCUGCGCGGAAGAUGUAACGGGGCUAAACCAUGCACCGAAGCUGCGGCAGCGACACUGUGUGUUGUUGGGUAGGGGAGCGUUCUGUAAGCCUGUGAAGGUGUGUCGUGAGGC
rnacentral:rRNA from 1 species